UUUCCUCUCUCUGUUUCUCUCCACACACAUGUGCUUAGGAAAGGCUAUGUGAACACACAGUGAGAAGGUAGCUGUCUGCAAGCCAGCAAGAGAAGUCUCACCAGAACCCAGCCAUGCUGGCACCCUCAUCUCAGACUUCCAGCCUUCAGAACUGUGAGAAAGACAGGACCAUAGAGCUAUUCAGCUGUGAAAGUGAGCUACUCUUCAGGAAAAGGACAAAAGGACCCCAAAGGCAAUUGAGAGAUCAUCAGGACUGCCACUCCUACCACAGGCUAAGAGUGCAUGGGCCCAGGGGGAUGGCGUAGGGCAAGACUGCCUCCACCUUGGUUUCAAAGGUCUCUGCCCAGCAAAGCUUCAUGUUUGUGGCCACACAUUAGCAGUGGGGGUAAUGCUACUACCUCAAUGAGUCUGGAAGACCGA
rnacentral:lncRNA from 1 species